CCAUCUGAACUACUGAACCAUUAUAAUGAGCGUCUGGAUGAACUUAUGAAGAAUACCAUUUAAACAGAGCUCAAAAUGAAGGACGUUUUGUACUCGAGACAUGCUGUCUGAAUAUAAAGCCCAGUUGUUAUCGUUGUCAUGGUUUCGAGGGCCCGGCAGAGGCAGGAUUAGGAGCCAUUUUAGGGACAGCUGGCCAGGUCGGCCUCCACCUCCCCUUUAUCCCGCGCAGAGAUGCUCUGGGGGGAUGAGGGGGGACAUUGUGCGAGGAUUAGAGCUUCCUGUGUGUCAGCCACAUUACAGGGGGGGGGGGGGUGGACAGAGAGUGAAAGAGGCAAAGAAUGAAAGAGAAAAUGAAAGAGCGAGCAUAUGAAAGAGAGCAUGACACAGAAAGCAAGAGGGUGUUUGAGGGGAGGGAGUGAAGUCUGUACAGCUGCACACUCAAUCACAUUACACAAGUGUGUGUGUGUGUGUGUGAAUAAACACACACAGAGCCAUCAACAUGCACACCACCAAUCUGGGAAACUAAAACAUUAAAGGAAGCAUACUUAAAAAAAAAAAAGGGUGAAUGAAGACAAUUGCUGAAGAACAAAGUUCCUUAUAGAACAACAAAAACAAAAAUAGCUUAACAGGUGGCAGUUAUGUGUUCCAUGCAAUUCAAAUAAUUCACAUACAUUUAAAAAACACAAAUCUUGAGACAUUCAGUCUGACUUUAUUUCUCUUUUUGACAAGUUAGGACCACAAUACAUCCAAUACAACACAAAAGUUGUUAAGAGUUCAACAGGGCAAACAAAAGUUGCUUCAAACUUCAAGAUUACUAAAAUACUGAAAGCUUAAAUCUUAAUAAAUUUUGAGCUGGUUUUGCUCAUCUGCAGCAGUGUGAAAACUAAUGUGAUUUGCUGUUUUUCAUAGUCAACAA